rnacentral:lncRNA from 12 species
UAUUAAAAAUUUGAAGUUUCUGAUAAUUAAAUAUAUUUUUAUCUUCCAGCUUGAUGAAAUACUCCUAGAGGAACUUAAUAUGAAAUGGAUGGCCAGCUGGGAAAAAGGGAUUAUUUGAAAUGUAUCUCAUCCAGGAAUUUAGAAGCAGAAGUCAGGGAAACUAUGUAUGCAGAGUCAAGACAAUAAAUUGCCUCUUUCAGGACCUGAAAGUGUCCCUUGAAAUUGGAUGCAGCUACAAGGUAAAGAACAUGAUCUCUAUAAAACUUGAAAAAUAUAUGUACAGUUCCAUGUUGUGCAUAUUGACUACAAAACAUACUAUGUUACUAAUGUUUAAUAUUAAAAAUAGUCACCAAUUUAAAAAUUAAUUAAUGAUUUGCAAAUAAAUAUUUUCUGUUUUAAGAAAGUAUAGUUGUU